rnacentral:rRNA from 1 species
UAAACGACUCUCGGCAACGGAUAUCUCGGCUUUCGCAUCGAUGAAGAACGUAGCGAAAUGCGAUACUUGGUCUGAAUUGUAGAAUCCCGUGAACCAUCAAGUCUUUGAAAGCAAGUUGCGCCCGAAGCCAUUAGGUUGAGGGCACGUCUGCCUGGGCAUUUCAC